rnacentral:rRNA from 1 species
GCACAAGCGGUGGAGUAUGUGGUUUAAUUCGAUGCAACGCGAAGAACUACCUGGUCUUGACAUCCCGGAGACCCUUAGGAAACUAGGGGGUGCUUCCAUCUGGAAGAAUCUGGAGACAGGUGCUGCAUGGCUGUCGUCAGCUCGUGUCGUGAGAUGUUGGGUUAAGUCCCGCAACGAGCGCAACCCUUGCCUUUAGUUGCCAGCAGUUCGGCUGGGCACUCUAAAGGGACUGCCGGUGUUAAACCGGAGGAAGGUGGGGAUGACGUCAAGUCCUCAUGGCCUUUAUGACCAGGGCUACACACGUACUACAAUGGCCGAUACAAAGGGCAGCGACACUGCGAGGUGAAGCCAAUCCCGUAAAAUCGGUCUCAGUCCGGAUUGGAGUCUGCAACUCGACUCCAUGAAGUUGGAAUCGCUAGUAAUCGUGGAUCAGCAUGCCACGGUGAAUACGUUCCCGGGCCUU